GCCCGAUUAGCUCAGCUGGUUAGAGCGUCGUACUAAUAUUAACUUGCAAGGGUUAUAAAUAGUAAAUGCGAAGGUCAACAGUUCAAUCCUGUUAUUGGGCA